GACGAACGCUGGCGGCGUGCUUAACACAUGCAAGUCGAGCGGUAAGGCCCUUUCGGGGGUACACGAGCGGCGAACGGGUGAGUAACACGUGGGUGACCUGCCCUCAGCUCUGGGAUAAGCCUGGGAAACUGGGUCUAAUACUGGAUAUGACUCCACGGUGCAUGUCGUGGGGUGGAAAGCCUUGUGCGGCUGAGGAUGGGCCCGCGGCCUAUCAGCUUGUUGGUGGGGGAUGGCCUACCAAGGCGACGACGGGUAGCCGGCCUGAGAGGGCGACCGGCCACACUGGGGCUGAGACACGGCCCAGACUCCUACGGGAGGCAGCAGUGGGGAAUCUUGCGCAAUGGGCGAAAGCCUGACGCAGCGACGCCGCGUGAGGGAUGACGGCCU
rnacentral:rRNA from 1 species